rnacentral:rRNA from 1 species
AACGAACGCUGGCGGCAUGCCUAACACAUGCAAGUCGAACGAAGCCUUCGGGCUUAGUGGCGCACGGGUGCGUAACGCGUGGGAACCUACCAUCAGGUUCGGAAUAACAGUUAGAAAUGACUGCUAAUACCGGAUAAUGUCUUCGGACCAAAGAUUUAUCGCCUUUUGAUGGGCCCGCGUAAGAUUAGGUAGUUGGUGGGGUAAAGGCCUACCAAGCCGACGAUCUUUAGCUGGUCUGAGAGGAUGAUCAGCCACACUGGGACUGAGACACGGCCCAGACUCCUACGGGAGGCAGCAGUGGGGAAUAUUGGACAAUGGGCGAAAGCCUGAUCCAGCAAUGCCGCGUGAGUGAUGAAGGCCUUAGGGUUGUAAAGCUCUUUUACUGGGGAUGAUAAUGACAGUACCCAGAGAAUAAGCUCCGGCUAACUCCGUGCCAGCAGCCGCGGU